rnacentral:rRNA from 1 species
GCGAGCGUUAACCGGAAUUACUGGGCGUAAAGCGUGCGUAGACGGUUAUGUAAGUCGGAUGUGAAAGCCCCGGGCUCAACCUGGGAAUUGCAUUCGAGACUGAAUAGCUAGGGUACGGUAGAGGGAAGCGGAAUUUCCGGUGUAGCGGUGAAAUGCGUAGAUAUCGGAAGGAACAUCAGUGGCGAAAGCGGCUUCCUGGACCAGUACCGACGUUCAGGCACGAAAGCGUGGGGAGCAAACAGG